UGACCACUUUCUCGGCAGAGAGCUCAACUGUGGCAUGGUUAAAGGCUGAAAGGGCUUGAAGACACUGUGCGAUUGCUUCAAACUGUCCACUGUUCAAGGGUGUCACAUUGGUGUUCAAGGAUGUUAGAGCAGCACCAACUGCUUCACGUUCUUCAUAUAUUCUUCGGAGCAUGAAAAAUGUGCUGUUCCACCUUGUUUCCACCUCUUGAAUCAGUUUCUUCUUCGGUCUGCCCAUCUGCUGCUGAAUUGCAGACAGUUUCUCAGUGGCAUUGGUGCUGAAUCUAAAGAAGGUAACAACUCUUCUGCAGUGAUCUCGAAUGGCACUAAGAUCUGCUGUUUGAGAGAGGGCAUUUUUUUACAACCAGAUUUAAGGACUCUAGCAAAAUGGACUUUGCUUCUUUGAUGUGCUCUGCUGUGUGGGUUUCAGGAAACUUCAAAACUCCCAGCACAACACUAUACAACUUCUCUUCAUUGAUAUAAUGGCAUGUUACUGCAAGCAACCAUGUCCUUCAGCCCAUGCCUUGAUGGACGCACAUAUGUUGGAUCCAGUUUCUGCACAAAAGCCCUGAAGCCCUCGUCCUCCACCAUAAAAAAAUGGCUGGGAAUCCUUCACAAUCAUGUCCACCAGAGCCUCAUCAAUGUCCCUUUGCCUUGCUGGAAAAUUGAAAAAUAAAAAUUCAUUAUUUAAA